AUUGAACGCUGGCGGCAUGCCUUACACAUGCAAGUCGAACGGCAGCGGGGACUUCGGUCCGCCGGCGAGUGGCGAACGGGUGAGUAAUGUAUCGGAACGUACCAUUCAGUGGGGGAUAACUAUCCGAAAGGAUAGCUAAUACCGCAUAUUCUGUGAGCAGGAAAGCAGGGGAUCGCAAGACCUUGCGCUGAUUGAGCGGCCGAUAUCAGAUUAGCUAGUUGGUGAGGUAACGGCUCACCAAGGCUACGAUCUGUAGCGGGUCUGAGAGGAUGAUCCGCCACACUGGGACUGAGACACGGCCCAGACUCCUACGGGAGGAAGCAGUGGGGAAUUUUGGACAAUGGGCGCAAGCCUGAUCCAGCCAUGCCGCGUGAGUGAAGGAGGCCUUCGGGUUGUAAAGCUCUUUCGGCCGGGAAGAAAUCGCAUCAGCUAAUACCUGGUGUGGAUGACGGUACCGGAAUAAGAAGCACCGGCUAACUACGUGCCAGCAGCCGCCGUAACAC
rnacentral:rRNA from 1 species